GAGACUCUGUGCGCGUGCAUAUCAAUAAGCGGAGGAAAAGAAACUAACAAGGAUUCCCUUAGUAACGGCGAGUGAAGCGGGAAGAGCUCAAAUUUGAAAUCUUCAAGGUUUUACCUUGACGAAUCGUAGUUUAAAGAAGUGUUUUCUGUUGGAGUUUUGGUAAAAGUUCUUUGGAAUAGGACAUCAUAGAGGGUGAGAAUCCCGUAUUUGACCAUUAUUUCCAGCUGUGUGAUACACUUUCAAAGAGUCGGAUUGUUUGGGAAUGCAGUUCAAGAUGGGUGGUAAAUUUCAUCUAAAGCUAAAUAUUGGCGAGAGACCGAUAGCGAACAAGUACCGUGAGGGAAAGAUGAAAAGAACUUUGAAAAGAGAGUUAAACAGUACGUGAAAUUGUCAAAAGGGAAGCGUUUGACACCAGUGUUGUUUUUCCGAAAAUCAAUUAAAAUGGCCGGAUUUUAAGUUUCAUGACCUUAAAAGCUUGUUUCUUAUUUUUCUUGUCUUUCUUAAUGCACUUUUCGGUUAACAAGUCAACAUCAAUUUCUUUUGUUGUAAAAGGUUAAGAGGAAGGUGGCUUUACUUUCGGGUAAAGUGUUUAUAGCCUUUUAACUCUGCAAUCGGAGAGAUUGAGGUCUGCAGCGUAGAUCCUUCGGGGUUAGAUACAUUUGUGCUAAGUUAUAGCUUUUCAUAGACAACUUGUUGACUAUGUUUAGUCUUGUAGCUUACUCGCUUAUGCUAUUUUACCUACGCUUAGGAUGUUGACGAUCAGCUGAGCGCG
rnacentral:rRNA from 1 species